UGGGUGGCAUGCAUCUGAUUACACUGGCUUUUUUUUUUAAAUCUUCCAUUUCCAUGAGAUGAAUACAAUUAACAACUUUCAAUUUACUUCAGAAUGACUGAAACCUGUUGGUGACCUAUGGGAUAACAUCACCCAUUGCCAUAGAAUAUUAGGAUUCCUAAACAGAGGGAGUCGAUGGAUUUUGUAGCUAAACAAAUCCAUAUUGUGGGUUAAAAAGUGGCAAACUAGUCCUGCAUGCAUGAUGCAUAAUUCAUCGUGAAGAGCUCCUUAGUGUGAAGACCUUUGCUUCUACGUAUUCUUUCAUCAGUGGAUAUAUUACAGCUGUCUAGUAUUUGCUCAUUCAAUGAGUACAUGAAGGUUGAAUCAACGAUAAAGAUUGGGAGCAAUCAGAGAAGAGUGCUUGGGACUACACCUAGAACUUUGUGCAUGUGAAGAACAUACUCUAGCACUGAGAUCCACUCUCUGCCACGCUGGCCUCUGCAUCCACCUGUGCAUUUAGGAAAGUCCUAUUGGAAGUCUUGUCUUUUAUUGUUUAAGAAUAUCUUGGGAAGGGACACAGAAAGAUGAAGAAAGAAGAAAGUUGUCAAGAAAAGAUUUUGUAUUGCUGCACGAAAUUCUCAAAGUCAAUCAAUAUAGUAAGCAAAGACAAUAUUCUACAUUUUUGAAAAUUAAUUUGAGCACCAGUAAACAUGCUCUAGCACUUACAGACACUCCUGUGUUUAUUGGGUUUCUUUAUAUCGUGUUUGGGAGAAAAGGUGAAAAAAAGAGUAAAAGGAAAAGAAAGUAAGACACACUCUGGUCUUGAACAUCGGCUCUCACGUUCUUAACCACUACAUGGUUACAUACAAUACAUCUUUCUACUGAAAAAGGACAUUUGCAGACUUUGGAAAUGCAUUUAAAUGUACUUGAAAAUGUUUGUAUCUUAGCAGUCAUCAAGAUAAAAUCAGUUCCAAUCAGACAAAAGGCAAGUUAUUUCUGGUGAUCAGUUGUGCAUUCAAGCAAGAGAAUCCUGUAACCUUAAUUAUCAUAUUAUAGCAAACUAGCUGUGGAAUCAUCUAAAAGAUUGCUAGAAGCAAAAAAAAAAAAAACUAAACAAACAAACAAACAAAAUAUCAUUCAAACAAACAGAAAUCCCUCCAUUUGUUCCUCCUAGGACUUGAGAUUCUUACUACUCAAGAGAUUUGUCCCCACUGACUUCCAGUAGAGUCAGAAUAUCCAUGAGGCUGAGCCAGUACUCUACUGAGUGCACAAGAACCCUGAGAUUUUUGCCUACCAUACCGUUGGGUGUGUGCAGCCCCCAACCUAAUGACUUCUUUCAGAUAAUUCACUCACACACACUAAGCAUACCAAGCAAUGAAUCAGCUGCCACCCUGUCUGGAGACUGGCCCUGGUGAAACUGAGGACUCUGGAACUGAGGUCAGGAGUGUAGAUGUUUUGUGUGCUGGCUUCAAAACACUGAGAGAAAAUAGCAGGUUAUACCUUGAGCACAAAUACUGCUCCACCAUGUCAACUUGGAAAGCAGCACCACCAUCUGGCACAAGCUGAUUACACAAGGAGUGAAGACUGACAGGUGCUCAGCUCAGCAAUAGAGUACUGUCUUACUUUUUGAUUAAAUAUAGCAGUGGUAACAUCCUGAAAUCUUAAAAAGAAAUGUUUCCAAGACCUAAUGCAGUAUAAAAGGGUUAAUUAGUUUGUUAAUCACUCAAAUAAGGCUUUAUUUGAUAGGAUACAUAAAAUCUAAACCUACCAAAUAUGGAAGAAAGGAAAAGGGCAUCCAGGACUGCAUUCACUCCCUGCAAAUCAAUGUGACCUACUAUUUGAUCAAAUACUUUGUGAUACUUAUAGUUCACAGUUUAAAGUGAUGGACAUACAGGAGGAAGGCCUGAAGUUCCAUCCAUAUGGGAGCAUGAAAUGAAAGAGUAUCCAGAAGGCGUCUUCUUAGGUGACAAUGCACUCUGUGGUCACCUUGACCUACCACUUGGCAGCUGACUUGUUAUUACUAUUUUCAGUAUGGAUUGUUGCCUCAUCUCCUUAUAGUACAUUAUCAUUAGAAGGCUGUACCUGUAUGUAAGAUCCCUUAGGAUCUGUAGUGGCUGUGAUGGGUUCUUAUAGCUUGCCUUUAAAGGGUACUAUCUGGUCUAUAUGAUUGGUGUUUCUUUCCUCCCACCAGAAUUGUAAUAUUCGAUGCUGCAGUGUGGUUCAAUACUAGCUUGACUAUCAGGACGUGUGGCAGACAGAUGUUUUGUCUCAGAAUCUCUGUGGCUGCUUCUGUAGUGUUGUCGUGUUUAGUAUUCAGUGGCUCAGCCGGAGUGUAUGAUGCUCUGAAUCACAAGGACAAUACAUAGUCACUUCUUCAACCAAAUACAAGACCUAUUUAUAGAAAGCUAAUGUCAACAAAACUGAGGAUAUGUCACACAACAAAGAAUAGUGUCGAAAGUAGUAUAGAAGCUCAGAAAAAGGAGGUGCCGGACUAUGAGGUAGCUGGGAAAACUAGAUUCUUCUAAGUGUGUCUUUCAUAUUUAUUAUAAGUAAUUAUUACUUUAUAACAUUUAUAAACAUUUAUUAUACAUUUCAAAAUAAUUUGUAUUGAAAAGAUACUCUGGGCUAGCCAAGUCUUUUCCAGAUUUAUAAUAUAACAUACUUAAAGGAUUACCAUAUACUUGCAAUUAGCCAAGACUAAGCACUUUAGUUUCAUAGUCAGUAGUAAUUUAGCAGAGCGUAGACUUGAACCUAUGCCAAACAUCCCAAAUGCCAACCCAAAUCAUGGACAGACAGACAGAUAACGGGAAGCAAAUCAUGGAUAGACAGACAGAUAACGGGAAGCAAAUCAUGGAUAGACAGACAGAUAACGGGAAGCAAGAGUGCAUAAGGAAGUGUAACCUCAACUCAUCCUAACCAUCACCAGGAUUUGCUUGGUCAAGAGCAAGACAGCAGGGCAGCAUAAACUUGAUCAAGAAAUAAACAAAUCCCAUACAUUGUUACAUUCAGGACAAAGAACUUAUAAUGAGUUGAUGUUAUUAUAGUUAUUUUAAAUAUUCAGGAAUAUUUUUAAUUAAUUAAAUAUAAAUUUUACACAUACUUCACAUAGGUUUAGGGAAUUCUUAAGAAGGGGAAGUCAUAGAAUUUCCAUAUCUUUAGAUCCUUGAGGAUUUGGUACCUUUUUUUUUUAAACAAAUUGUGUGAAUUCAGAUUUUCAGUGUAAGGCUAUAGAACAUCACAUAUUACUUAAAAAAUCUUGGAAAUUUAUAUACUAAUAAUCCAUCACUAUUAUUCCAUUAAAGUAGGCAGUUUGGUAAAAAUUUGCAUUCAUUUUUCAGUGCUUUCCAAGUUAUAAACUAUGUAAUUCUUUAUGGUAAGUGAAACAUGAAUGUUCUUUACUUUUCUUCUCCUUUUUCUCCUCUUUUUCUAAUUAAUUCAUUUAAGGAGGAUUUACUUAUGUGGGAAGAUAUACUUCUUACAUCUUUAAAAUCAAGAAGUGUAUGCAACUUACCAAUCACAUAAAAUAUCUAACAGGACUUAACUUACGUUAUCAUAAAGCUCACCAGUAUCACUUUAAUUGGGAUAAAUGGCAUUUGUUCUUUCCAACAGUAGAUGGGAAAGAUUGAAAAACAGUUUAUGUUUCCUAAGAGUCUAAUAGAAAAAGAAUGGGGUUUAUACAUUUUGUCCAAAACUCCCACACCAUGGAAACAAACUGUCUGUACAACUUGUUCUGGACUUUUUCUAUUUAUUUGUUUUAAAAAUCAAUUAUAGUGAGUAUAGUUGUAGGAGAAAUAAGUAGGGAAGAUGUUGUAGAGACUUAAAACAUUUUUAAAUUAAUUUGAUCAUGGACAACAAAGAUAAUGAAAAUGUUAUUGUGAAUUUCUGAAAACUUAUGCAAAACUGAUUUGGUGGAUUCUUGUAAAUAUGGUAUCUAUGUACAACUACUUAAGGACAUGCUGCAGAGAAAAUAGCAGCAUGACCUGAGUGAAAGACCAACUCUUCCUAAGUAUUGUUGUAUACAGUUACAUUAGUAUUUGAUGGCAAUUUCUGCUAGUUUGGUUUCUCUGUUCAACCUCAAGGCAGUGACUUAGUGAUCUGUGGAUUUUAUCUGUCUACAUCCACUUAACCACUCAUUCAUUCAGUACUGUAGUGAUAUUAUGGAUAUUUUAAACAGGACCACAAAGUAGUAACUUUUAUACAUGAGGCACCAAGAAAGAGAUAUUGACACUUGUUUACAAGGCAACUAUUGUUGAAUUUGUGAUAAUGCUUGUCUAACCAGGUAAAAUGAAGCACUGUUUGCUAAGAUGAGGCUAGGAAAGGAAGGUGCAGCAUGGGGAGAGAAGUGAAAAGCUGUGUCUCUAACUCACUCAUACCUUUAGGGAAUCUGGAUGCUUCUAAUAAAGCCUGGCAUGUAAAAGUAAAAAAGUAAGAAGUCUGGCUUAUGGAUAGCAGAGUCAUAGGCACACACAACAUACCUAAGGACCUGAGAUUGUAUAGAUAACAGAGAUCAAAUGAAUAGUCACCUGGCAUUAAGUCCUGAAAAACAUUUGAAGACAGAAAAGCAGAGGUUCAAAUACCUGAAGACAGGACACAGAGGGAAGAGGACACCAGGUGUGUGUCUAAUAUUAUGUACCCAUUCUGCUUCUAGAAGAAAUAGUAAAACUACAAUUGAAAGAUUAAGAUAAUAACUGAAAAAUAUGCAUCAGGCUUGACAAUGUGAAAGUUAGUGGUCCUCCUAGAGUUGCUUUGGCUUGGUGGCUAAAUGGCUGAGAACCAUCUUGGAUGCAAUGGAUGGUGAAUGUGAGUAGAUGACUAACAUUAGCUUAUCUUUCACUUAGAAAUACUCACAGAUAAAGCAGCAAAGGAGAUUUCAGACAUAGUACCUCAGGUAGUUGGAGGCUCAAGAUAAAUGGUUUCCUUUUGAAUUGUUUCCAAGGUUAGUAUAUUACAAUACAUGAUAUUAAACAUUCAAGGAAAAGCAAUAAGUAGCCAAAAAACUGGGUUUCGGUACAUGGGGAGAUAAGCACAUUGAAACUGCUAAAAUGAGGAAAGGAAGAAACAUGAAGAAGAUGCAGAUAGAAAGAGUAUUGGCUUUGAACAUGUGACUAUAAAUGAAUGUCAUCUUCUUAUUCUGUAAACCAAUAGCCAUAGAGAUCAAUAAGUAAUCAAUGUCCCUAUCCGUUCUGUUUCAAACCUUAAGGAAUAUAUUGAAAUCUUGAGCUACUCUGCAGUCAGAGUCUGCAUAUCUUCUUCAGGUUCAUGAACUAAGUACGGAGAACCCAACUUUCAAGCUGCACUUCAUCAGAUCUGUUAUUGGAUCUCUAGGGAGAUGCUUUUCUUUGCCUACAGUUUGUCAUUUAGAAAUUUAAAAAUAAUGUUACUACUUGACUGCUUAAUUUAAAAAGUGUGCCUAAGGCACAAGAUACAAAAUUAAACAAAAGAGUUAAUUUUGUUGUUAGGAUGGACUGCUUUUGAGGAGAGACUAGUACUUCCCAGAACUUGAUUAUCAAGGGAUUUCUACCCACUCCUCCUCACUGCUUGUAUGAAUUGUAGUGUGCUCUGUAUAUUUUCAUCCAAUAGCAGCAUAAAGAAGUGCAGUUAAUGUUUUCCUUCUUCUUUGAUUAAAGAAAUGUUUUGUCUUAACUAUCUAAGAAUGUAGUAUAAUAGGAACGUAUUUAAUUUUAGCCAUGGGGUUUUCAUUUCCUACCACAUUAAAAAAUAAAUAGACAUAAAAGUAAUAGGAUCAUGCAGAGAAGAGAGUUAGGCAGAAUUGUAUGACUUUAGUAUUUUGAAUUUCAAGAGAACAGAAUAACUGCUGGUUAUGACAGGCCUGUGGGAGCUGCCUCAACUAGGUAAAUUACCCAUAUUCCUGUCAGCUAGUAAAUUUCAUUUAACUUUUGACUUACAGCAUUAUAGAUGAGUUUAAUAAAAGCAAAUCCUAGAUCAAGGUGUAUACUGGCUAUUCAAAUGACCCAUUGACUAACUAGGCCUUAUUAAAGUAGGUAUUGGCUGAGUGGGACGAAACACUGAAGAAUGACAUCAAAGUGGACCCUGAAUCCUUAGUCAUCAGGACAAGUAAUAAUCUAAAGCAAUGCCUUACAUUGAAACCAUUGUUUUAAAAAUAUUACAGAUUAGACACCAGGAGAAUAAUCAGCAGCAGAACACACGUAUAACAGGUAUAGGGAUUGGUUUCCGUGAUUAUUCCUGCACAUGUUCUCUCUCUCUCUCUCUCUCUCUCUCUCUCUCUCUCUCUCUCUCUCUCUCUGCCUCCCUCUCUUUCUCUGCCUCCCUCUCUCUCACACCACACACACACACACACACACACACACACACACACACACACAAAUCGAACUCUAAAAGACUUUAAGAUUAUAAGGUAAGAUAAAAUACAUUUUAUAUAAUUAAAAAAGUACAAAUUUUAUAGAUACACAUAGGAUCAAGUCACAGAAGUGCACUAUAAAGUAACGUGGAGCCGGGGGUAGGAAAAAAACAUAGUCAUGCUAUUUUCUUUAGCUCUUGGUAUUAUUUUGGUAUUGUCAAUUUUUGCAAUAAAAUAUGAUUUAUGUUGAUUACGAGGUUUCGUAUUCCUUUAAAUUGUGUGGCCAGAUGGGUGUCUUCCUUUCAUUGGCCUAAUCUUUGCAUUGUUAAUUUACCAAGAAAUAGCUGUUACCAGGGAUCACUGCAUCCACAGUUGGCUCCUACUGCCACAGUACAGGCAGAAUUUCCUUUUGGAAACCCAUCAUCUUACAUACAAACAGCACCAAGACUUUCUCUAUGACAGACUUUAUCUUCAACAGUCCAGAGAACCACAACAUCAACCUGAAUUAGAAAACACAAUCCCCCAAAAAAGGAUAAAUUCUACAGAUUUUCUCUCCACAACAGAGAAUAGUGGCAAACGAGACAGCUGGGGAAAAGUCAAGUUUUUCAACUGUUAGGAGUCUAUGUAUCUUUCUGGAUAUAGACUUAACCAGCACAUAUAGAAAGCAAUGGCCUUUCCUCAUUUAACUCUGAGAGUAUAUAAGAAAUCCACUAUUAAGGUCAGAGAGAAAUCCUUUAUUAGGAGGUUGUAUUCAACUUGAAAAUAAGUCCCGAGAGUAUAAGAAUACUUCUAUCUUCUCCAUCUGUGAGGUACUCUGCUUGAUGACUUGCGUGAAGGAAGGCCCCCAGCUCUUAUUUUUAAUUAAUUUUUUUUUGCUUCUUAUAGUUCCUUGUUGAAAUGGAUAGGUAGCCUCAACCCUUACACCAGCAGGAGAUUAUCUCACUGUUGGUGAGUAGAGCUCUCAACACCAACUAAAGACAGGAUCCUGCAGGAGAAACAGGGAACAUUGCGGUGGAGACACUUGUGUCAGUCCUCACAGUAGAGGUGGCAUGGGAACUAUUUUUAGAAGAAGGAAUCCCAGGACCAGGAACAAAUGUCCUCUCCCCUCUGCUCCUCCUCACUGCUCUGUCAGGAGGUCAGUCCUAAAACAAGGCGCUGACUUGCUCACCUUCGCCACUUUUUCAAAUGGAAAUAAGACAAUUUUUGUGGAUUUUAUAGCCUACAUUAUGAGCUUUGUUCUAUUCAUAAGACCUGUGGAUAGUACAGUAUUUUCUAUCUUUCUGGUUAAGUACUACCAAUGUACAUUCCUCAUUGGUGUUUCUAAAUAUUCGACAGAAACAACGAAGAGAAAAGGCAGAAGGCUUAUAGUUUCAGAAGCUUUAGCACAUGGUAGCUUGUUGUUCUGUGCACUUGGGAAAAACAUCAGGGCACUGGGAACAUGUAGGAGGGGAGAGACAGUCAUGAACAUAGACAGGAAACAGGGAAGGAAGCAAAGGGGACAGGAAGCUAAGAUACACAAAGGCUUCCCCAGUGACCUGCUUCCUCUGUCUAAGCCCCCCCUUCUCCAGUUUAUAGAACCUUCCAAAAUGAUGCCAUCACUUGAAACCUAGCGUUCAACAUACAGGAGUAUGUGUUUGUGAUUCAAACUGUAGAAAAAAAAUCACUAGUGAACUUCCCGCUUGAAAAACGUAGUAACUUCAUACAACCUGAAACAAAUUCAUCAAGAUGAAUGGUUAUAGAAGACACUUAAAAUAAUGAAGCAAACAUUCAGUAACUAGGAAGAAGAUUACAAAUUCUGGGUUUUGCAGUCUCGAAUUUUGCACUCUUAUACAGUGGGAUCUGCCAUUGUUAUGUUAAACCUUUCACAGAAAAUCAUAGUAAAUUUAUAGUCUACUUACAGUCUAUUUAAUUCCUUUAUUUCUCACAAUUUGGAAAAUCCCUAAAACAUUCACGUCAAUAGGCCUGGAGUAUUAGUUGUUUACUUUUAACUAAUUCUGACUCUUUCUUUCUUUUCCCAUGUCAAAUUUUUGUUAGUUUGUCUUUUUUUUUCCAGAACUGAGGACCAAACACAGGGCCUUUUACCACUGAGCUACAUCUCCAACCUCUCAUGUCAAAUUUAAAAAGCAAUCUAGUCCUGGGAGAGACUGACCCCAAAUCGUGUUUAAAGUAGGCUCUAUAUUUUUGAUCCGUCUAGCUAAUACUCACCUUUGUAGAUGAUGGAAAAUAAGUAGUGAGAUUUGAAAAUACUAGCAUUUUGUAUUAUAUAGCAUUAUAUACAACCAUUAUAUAGUUACAGACACAUUAAGAGUGGCCUAGAUCUAUUGUCUAUCUUGGAUUAUGGCUUUUUACAAUUGAAAUAAAAUUCAAGCCACAAAUGAAAUAGAAAAUUUCACUAAUUUCCAUUCAGCAAUGAUAGCAGAAACUCCCCAUGGGUUAUUAUGUCGGUGAGAUGUGUGAACAAACCUGAUAAUAAGCAAGUAAAGUGUAUCAUAAAAUAUACUGUGUUCAUUUAUUGUGACAACUAGGGUAUAAUUAUGCUAGGAAAUGUGCACACUUUAGUCAGUGAAAGUAAUAAAACCAAAGCACCAGGAGACCUUUCUCAACUUUGUGCUAUUAAACUGCUUUUGAGUAGAAGGUGAACAGUCUAAAAAUAUGGGCGCAGCAUUCAUUUUUAUGGAUUAGUGAAGCAGGGGUUAGUCAGACUCUCUUGUAGCCUAAUAAAUAAAACCUCUCUGCUCUUUCCUCAUUAGUUGUAGGUAUAGCACUAAAGGACAUUUCCCUCAACUCCAAUGUAAUUAUAACUCUGAAACAUGUGUGCUUUGUCCAGGAUAUUCAUCUCCCCUAUUCCCUUCAAUUAAGGGAACACAAGAGGAGGGGUAGCCCAGUGUGAGAAGGGCUGCACUACAACUGCUGCCAGGAGAAAACUUGUAGAAAGAUACGGAACAAAAGGACUGGAGAAGAUAAGGCUGCAAGAUGCUGAGUGGGUGCACUGAUUAAGGCAUUAGUGGAAAUCACCAAGGCAGUACAAGCAGCGUAUAAUUUCAGGGUAGGAAACCCUUAGUUUCCCAGAGUGAACUGCUAUUUUGAAAAGAGGUGUUAAUUGAAUUUUAUGGUAUUUUUAACAAAAAUUAAAAUGCAUAUAUUUUACUACCCUAAUAGUUUUAUUGCUACUGUGAGAGUUAUGAACAGUGCUACAUCAAGAAGCAUAUGCACCAAUUCACUGAAUGGCACCAGAGUGGGUUUGCAUGGUUUCCUUCCGUGCCUUGGCAGCCGACAAUCACGAUCAUAAUUAUAGGAUUGGAGCCACCUGCUAACUCUGUGAAUGGAACCACGUGUCUCCAAAUGAAAUAAGAGCAAUUCUAACAUUAAAAAGAAAAUGAGUGUUAAGCCAAAUUGGCCUCCAGGGUCAGCCUGUGAAAGCUAGGUAUUGUUUUUUCUAAGCACCAAUGGCUGACUCCCACCUUAGGUUUUACAACUGAGGAGGAAGACGCAAGGCCUACUGAGACUUUAUGCUGAAACUAGAUUACCUAAUGAAAUGCCAACAUUCCGUGUUGCUUGUGAGAAGGCUGCUGAGUCCAUAGUUCUAUGGUCAGAUUCACAGUCUCAAAUGUUAAAGGGAGUCCAAUGCAUAGGAACAGACGUGAGGGAGCCAACUGCCUGUAACUGUUGGCUUUGUGUACCCUUAACUCGUUAAAACACUGGAGAUUAUUAAUAGUCAGCAUCAUGAGAAUGAUGACGUCAAGGAAGUAGAUCUGUAAGGAAUUACGAAUUCCAAUGUACAAAGUAUAUUAAUCCAAAAGGAUUUUUCUCUGAAUCUCACGAAUAAGAAGUCUCACCUGGGUUCCUCAAGACCGUUUUGUCAGCCUUCGUUUCCCCUACUUACACGCUUCUGUUAGAGCAGUAUUUUCUAUACUUUCAUGUGUACCAUGAACCAUCUGGGAUCUCGUUAAAUGCUUGCCCAGCGUCAGGAGAUAUGCAGGGCAGGAAAGGGAAGGAAUGUCUGCAAGUUGGCAUCUUUAUGAGAUUGCAGGUGCUGCUGAUGCAGCUGGUCCUCCAGCCACAGUUUGAAAUGCAAGAUAUGACAGAACUUCUUUGACAGUGUCAUAAUUAUCUAACAUAAGUCAGCCAUUUAUUCUUGCCCAUGUUCUUUUUUAAAAGCAAACACGAGGGCAGCAUUCCCAUCGAUGUGAAAAAUAAAAUGUUGCAGGUUUGAGGGCAAACUAGGCUCUUGAUGUCUGUUAACCCGAAUCUGUAAGACAACUCCAAGACACUAGUAGUCAUGUUCUCAUUUCAUGAUAUAGAAGCUAGUGGUUAUGGACCCAUAGGCAACAUGUAUAGACAAACUGCAAUUCAGGGUUCCUUUCCAAGAUCUGUACUCUUUCUAUUGUCCUGAAAGUCUCUCCUUGUUUACUUCUACAUGCACAGAGCAUGUUAGAGACCUUCAUGCUAUGGAUGGUGCUCAAAUGAUGCACUGGGAAUGAUGAAAACGUCAUAGAUUCACCUUUGCUCAGUCCCUUAUGGAGCCUGUUCUCUCUGCUUCUCUGCCCAGUCAAAGGCACAGCAUUCUGUUUCCACUGACUGCCCACAAUUACACAACUGUGUAUCCCUUCUGAUCUCUCUCUCUCUCUCUCUCUCUCUCUCUCUCUCUCUCUCUCUCUCUCUCACACACACACACACACACACACACACACACAGUGACUAUUUCUACCACACAAAAAUUAAUACAUUACAAUACAAAAUUGAUACACACAAUACAUUUAACUCAUCCCAGCAAUGCUUAGUGAGUGCAUUCUAAGCACCAGCCAAAGUUUUUGAACAUUUUGAGCCAAAACCUACAAAAUUCCUUCUAGCCUUAGACUAAGGAGAAUUUUCCUAAAUAAAAUUCAAACCCAUUCUGGGCACAAUUCAUUUAGAAUUCCUCACUUGGCUUUUGAGAUACUGACUGUUUAAUCAAUAACAUUUUCAGAUUUGGACAAGUUAGCAUGCAGGAGUGCUCCCGGUGUAGACAAGCCCUUGUCUACAUUCCCAUGACUCAGUCUUGGAGAUAAAAUACUGUUCCCAUGCUGUUCCUCAUUUUCCUCCAACAGUGUCUUAGGCCAGAGGCAGAACUUUCAAAGUCACAUCCAAUGUGAGUAUCAGCUGGAAAGACAGAAGUCCCUGCAUUAAAUCAUAGCACUUCCUAGCACAGUAAGCUUGAAUUUGGGAGUAUAGAGCAUCCAGGCCAAGCAGAUAACUAGAUAAAUCAGGUUCACUGACAAAGGUAAUCUUUUUCUCACUAAGGACCAAAAAUAUACACUAGAAAACUUCCUUCAAAACAUGGAAAAGGUAAAACCUGACAUCUGGGAAAAAUCCCAUUCUAAUGAUUUCAUGGUUUGUUUUUAACAUCAUCCCAAGUUUGUGCUCUCCUAAACAAGGAGCGAAUGAAUGGUUUAGAGCAUGGAGAAUGCUUCACAUUCUUCUGCACUGGAUGGCACUGAAAACUUCUGCUCAUCCACUAAUGCUGUGCAACACUUUGGUGAGGCUGUGGGCUUUGUAAAGUUUCAUCAUGUGCCAGUUCAUCUCUUUGCAGACAUAUUCAGGGUACAGAGCUAGGGCUGAGUGACUUAAAAUAAAGCAUUAGGCCAGGCUCACCCUGAUUCAGUCUUAUUUUGCUAAUUUCCAUUUUGAUAAAAUCUAUAGCAAAUAGUCUUGAGAAUAGACACAAUGAAAAAUUCCAUGCUCUAAUCUGUGCAGUUCUAACUCCUAUGAGCAUGAGAACAUGGAAACACUUCUUUACCUUAGAUAUCAAUAUUUUCAGAAGGUUAUUGUUGUCAUUAAUGUAAAAAUUAGAAAAAAUAAACAGUAAGGAUUCGCAUAGUAGGGAUCCAGUUAGCAAUACUGUUCUUGGUCUUACAAAUAAUUUUAUAUCCCUAGUUAUAUUAUUUGGUUUAAAAAUCAAAAUGUUGUAUAGGUGCUGAUAGUAAUUACAUUUUUAAUAUAGCUGAACAAGUACACAGACAUACUUCAUACACUGGCAAAAGUUUCAAUUUCAAACAAAUUUGAUGCAAAUGCUUAUGUAAAAGAAGCUAUAGAUAUCUUUACAACAGGAAACAAAAAGCACAUGCCUUUUCUCUUUGUCUCAAGAUUAAUUUAAAUUUCUGGUCUGAACAGAGGAAAACAUUCCAUUAUCAAAUUUUAUUUUCUUUUUUUUUUUUGGUUCUUUUUUUUCGGAGCUGGGGACCGAACCCAGGGCCUUGCGCUUC